AACUGUGAUGCGGAUCGCAACCAUGACGGUCGCUCUAAUGGCUGUGAAAUCAAACAGAGCUCCGCUGAGGUGAAGGGAACUUCCCCUUCAACGCCGCAGUUCGUUGUAGUGGAAGGGGACGACGAUGGAGUAGACCCAUAUGGAGGAUUGUUUGAUGAUGAACAGAAGAAGGUUUUGGAAAUUAAGGAGCAGCUCGAAAUUCCUCACCAGCCUGAAGAUGCUUUGGUUGAAUUGCUUCAAAACUUAG
rnacentral:misc_RNA from 1 species